AUGGCCGCCGCCGCCGCCUUCCUUCCCCCCGCCCCAAUCUUUCGCCCUCGCACCACCACCGCUCGCCACCGUGCCUCACCCAUCUGCGCUGCCGCCUCCGACGUACCGCCGCCAGAUGCCGAGACGGACGAGGGAGAGGCCCCACGCAGCGGCCGGAAGGACCGGCGCCGCGUGGUGCGGAUCGCGUGGGAGAAGCUCGUCCGCUGGUCUCGCUCCUGGCGCAGCCGCAACCGCAGCGACGUCCUCGAGACCACGCGCAAGGUGGUGGUCCUCGGUGGGGGCUCGUUCGGAACGGCGAUGGCGGCGCAGGUGGCAGCCAAGAAGCCCGACCUUGAGGUGGCCAUGCUGCUCCGGGAUGACCUCGUCUGCCGCUCCAUCAACCACCGCCAUGUCAACUCCAAAUACUUGUCAGAAUACAGCUUGCCAGAAAACAUUGUUGCAACAACUAGUGCUAGCGAGGCGUUAGCAGGAGCUGAUUUCUGCUUCCACGCUGUCCCUGUUCAGUUCAGUUCAUCCUUUCUUGGCAGUAUUUCAACUUAUGUUGAUCCAAAGUUGCCAUUCAUAUCGCUUAGCAAAGGGCUAGAACUUAACACCCUUCGGACAAUGUCUCAAAUCAUUCCUCUUGCAUUGGGAAAUCCUCGCCAGCCAUUUAUUGUUCUGUCAGGACCUUCUUUUGCCGUGGAACUGAUGGAGAAACUACCAACAGCUAUGGUGGUGGCAUCCAAAGACAAAAAGCUGGCAAGUGCUGUUCAGCAGCUCUUAGCGUCUUCAAAUUUGAGGAUAAGCACAUCAAGUGACGUUACAGGGGUAGAAAUUGCAGGGGCACUUAAGAAUGUUCUUGCAAUAGCAGCAGGUAUAGUAGAAGGUAUGCAUCUUGGAAAUAAUUGUAUGGCUGCCCUUGUUGCUCAAGGCUGUUCUGAAAUUCGGUGGUUGGCGACAAAGAUGGGAGCAAAGCCAACAACCCUUUCUGGUUUAUCUGGCUCGGGUGAUAUCAUGCUUACAUGUUUUGUCAAUCUUUCACGGAACAGAAACGUGGGAUUGCGUCUUGGUUCAGGCGAGAAACUUGAUGAGAUCUUGGAUUCAAUGAAUCAGGUUGCUGAAGGCGUGUCAACUGCUGGCGCUGUCAUCGCAUUAGCUCAGAAGUACAACGUCAAACUGCCAGUCUUGACAGCGGUAGCACGGAUAAUUGAUAAUGAACUAACUCCGAAGAGGGCUGUUAUGGAGUUAAUGAAUCUUCCACAGGUCGAGGAAGUCUAA
rnacentral:rRNA from 1 species